CGGACGGGUGAGUAAUACGUAGGAAUCUACCCAGUAGUGGGGGAUAACUUGGAGAAAUCCAUGCUAAUACCGCAUAUGUCCUACGGGGCAAAGCAGGGGACCCUCGGGCCUUGCGCUAUUGGAUGAGCCUAUGUCGGAUUAGCUAGUUGGUGGGGUAAAGGCCUACCAAGGCGACGAUCCGUAGCUGGUCUGAGAGGAUGAUCAGCCACACUGGGACUGAGACACGGCCCAG
rnacentral:rRNA from 1 species